rnacentral:rRNA from 1 species
CCUACGGGAGGCAGCAGUGAGGAAUAUUGGUCAAUGGACGUAAGUCUGAACCAGCCAAGUAGCGUGAGGGAAGACUGCCCUAUGGGUUGUAAACCUCUUUUAUGUGGGGAUAAAGGUGUCCACGUGUGGAUCUUUGUAUGUACCGCAUGAAUAAGGACCGGCUAAUUCCGUGCCAGCAGCCGCGGUAAUACGGAGGGUCCGGGCGUUAUCCGGAUUUAUUGGGUUUAAAGGGAGCGUAGGCCGGUCUUUAAGCGUGCCGUGAAAUUUUGGGGCUCAACCGUGGGAGUGCGGGGUGAACUGGAGACCUUGAGUGCACGGAGGGCAGGCGGAAUUCGUGGUGUAGCGGUGAAAUGCUUAGAUAUCACGAAGAACCCCGAUUGCGAAGGCA